AGGACGAACGCUGGCGGCGUGCUUAACACAUGCAAGUCGAGCGGAAAGGCCCUUCGGGGUACUCGAGCGGCGAACGGGUGAGUAACACGUGAGUAAUCUGCCCCUAGCUCUGGGAUAGCUCCGGGAAACCGGGAUUAAUACCGGAUACGACCACUACGGACAUCUGUGGUGGUGGAAAGAACUUCGGCUAGGGAUGAGCUCGCGGCCUAUCAGCUUGUUGGUGGGGUAACGGCCUACCAAGGCGACGACGGGUAGCCGGCCUGAGAGGGCGACCGGCCACACUGGGACUGAGACACGGCCCAGACUCCUACGGGAGGCAGCAGUGGGGAAUAUUGCGCAAUGGGCGAAAGCCUGACGCAGCGACGCCGCGUGGGGGAUGAAGGCCUUCGGGUUGUAAACCCCUUUCAGCAGGGACGAAGCGAAAGUGACGGUACCUGCAGAAGAAGCGCCGGCUAACUACGUGCCAGCAGCCGC
rnacentral:rRNA from 1 species